UGGAAUGAGUCCCACACCUAGCGCCCAACGUUUACGGCAUGGACUACCAGGGUAUCUAAUCCUGUUCGCUCCCCAUGCUUUCGCUUCUCAGCGUCAGUAGUGGCCCAGAGACCUGCCUUCGCCAUCGGUGUUCCUCCUGAUAUCUGCGCAUUUCACCGCUACACCAGGAAUUCCAGUCUCCCCUACCACACUCUAGUCUGCCCGUACCCACUGCAAGUCCGGGGUUGAGCCCCGGAUUUUCACAGCAGACGCGACAAACCGCCUACAAGCUCUUUACGCCCAAUAAUUCCGGACAACGCUCGCACCCUACGUAUUACCGCGGCUGCUGGCACGUAGUUAGCCGGUGCUUCUUCUGCAGGUACCGUCACUUUCGCUUCUUCCCUGCUGAAAGAGGUUUACAACCCGAAGGCCGUCAUCCCUCACGCGGCGUCGCUGCAUCAGGCUUUCGCCCAUUGUGCAAUAUUCCCCACUGCUGCCUCCCGUAGGAGUCUGGGCCGUGUCUCAGUCCCAGUGUGGCCGGUCGCCCUCUCAGGCCGGCUACCCGUCGUCGCCUUGGUGAGCCAUUACCUCACCAACAAAGCUGAUAGGCCGCGAGCCCA
rnacentral:rRNA from 1 species